GACCAUCUCUCUUUGUUUCCCCUUUCUCAAUCCACCUCUACUCCUCUAGGGUUUCUCUCUCUCUCUCUCUCUCUCUCUCUCUCUCUCUCUCUCUGUCUUUUACAGACCAGAACUAGGUUUUUCUCUCUCAAUCUUUCUAAAACGGAUUUGGAUUUUUCUCUCAAGCUACAACAGAUUUUUGAUACAGAUCUGGGGUUUUCUCUAAAGCAAUUAGCAGAUUAUCUAUGACCACAUCUAGUCAUAAGUAAUUAUGUUCAACGAUUGUCGAAGGACCCAUCCCUAUCUGGUUGAUCCCUUCUAGCAUUCCCAAGGUCCUGUUUGGAUACACUUCUUUAGAGGGGAGUUUCUGGAAGGGACAUUUCAAGUCUGCUUCUUUGGUCUGACUUGGUGAUAACCAAUUUGAUUGGUUUUUGUCAGGCUUGCUUCUUAAAGGGGUCACCGAAGUAGUAGAAGAAGAAGCAGAAGCAGCAAGUAUGUAUGUUCAUGCUUUUCCCUCGUCAUUCUUGGCUCAAAUACCUUCAAGCAAUCUUAGUUAUCUAGAAAACAUUACAAAUGCCACAUAUGUUGUGUAUAGACCCAGUACUGAUUUGAUAAAUACCCCCAUAAGUUGUGCUUUUAGCCAUAUAAUAAUUCUAAACUAACAAUCCCCAAAAGAAAAGUGGUCAAUGGCCUGCAUUUGGUUAGAGGAGGAGAAUAAAUUUAAGCUAGGAUUACCUAAAAAAAAUAAAAAUCUUUUUGUCAACAUCAAAUAUUGCAUUGCUCAAAGUAAUGAUUCACCUGGAUUGGAAUUGCUUAAAGUUACACAUGCACAUGUUCCUUUUGUGAGACUAUUUUGUUGGUCUACUCUUUCUAAAUUAGCAUAAUGGAAAGGAAAGGUAUCUUCUUCUUCUUCUUUUUUGGGUGGACUCAAGGUCCCCAGAUUUACAGAUGGGGUUUAGAAUCAAUGUUCAGCAUAUUCAGUGAACCACUACUGCUUGAAUUUAUAUUAACAGCCCAGUUUCUGUUCUUGCACCACUAUUAAAAAUCAUC